rnacentral:lncRNA from 1 species
GUGCUAUAUUUUGCAUAUACAUCUGCAUGACAGAAGAGGGCACCGAAUCUCAUUAUAGAUGGUUGUAAGCCACCAUGUGGUUGCUGGGAAUUGAACUCAGGACCUCCGGAAGAGCAGACAGUGCUCUUAACCUCUGAGCCAUCUCUCCAGCCCCAAGGCAUUUCUUAAUUAGCUGAUUAAUGGGUGGGGCCAUCCUUGGAAAGGUGGUUCUGGCUUCCAUGAGAGAACAUGCUCAGCACGCCAGCGGGGGUGGGAGGGGGGAGCAAGCUAGCAAGCAGGAUGCCCCUGGCCUCUCAGCAGCUGCUGACUUCUUGGAUAAUGAAGGGUGUUGGAGAACGAUGCAAACUCAGACGGAUACCUGUUUCAAAUGAAAUAAAACAGAACAAAAGUGAAAACUGGGAGCCGGAAGUCUCAGAGUUUGGGAGAGUGAAACCAAAGGAGUGAUGGGUUUUUGGGCUAUAUGAAUACCAGGUUGUCCUGGGCUACAGCACACAGCAAGACCUGGUUUCGAUUCCAGGAGGUUAGCUGGCAGAGACAGCUGCCCUGACAGCCUGGGACUUCGCCUUCUGCACUGCCUGGCUCAAAGGGCGGGGGUGGGUUAGACCCUCAGAAAUGGGUCUUGUCAAAGACCAGCUACCAGUCACCCCGCUGUGACGGCUGUGUAGCGCCUGUGACUCAGCCUUUUUAUUGAUGCUGAUGCUUUUAGUUUUUUUUAAAGUUAAUAUCAAGUUCAAGGCCAGCCUGGUCUACAGAGUGAUUCCAGGACAGCCAAGGCUACACACAGAAGAAAAACCCUGUCUAUCCCCGAUUGUGUGGGCAGCCUUCACGGCAUCACGUAUUGAAAGAUCAUUGUGUACGAUUAUGAGGGUGCAUUUGCCCAUGUGCGUGUGUAGACUUCAGAGGUCAAUGUUCAGCGUCUCCCUCCCCCAACCUUUUUUGAGACGGUGUCUCUCACUAGACCUACCAGGAUCCUGCCAGUUGGACUGGGCUGGCUGCUGGCCACCAGAAGCCUGUGCUGACCUCCCCCCAGCACCGAAGGAUGGAAACUCUGCUUGUGUGCACACGGCAAGCACAGAAGAGCCGAGUCCCUCUGUGCGCCCCUCCAUCUCUGCUGACGUCUUCUGA